rnacentral:snRNA from 1 species
AUUGCUUCUCCACCUUUUGGCUAAGAUCAAGUGUAGUAUCUGUUCUUAUCAAGAUAACAUCUGAUACAUCCUCUAUCCAAGGACAAUAUAGUAAAUGGAUUUUUGGAACAAGGAAAUGGAAUAGGAGCUUGUGUCCACUCCACACACUGAUCUGGUACUGCAAUACCUCCAGAAAUGAUACGCCCUUC